rnacentral:rRNA from 1 species
UACGGGGGGGGCAAGCGUUGUUCGGAAUUACUGGGCGUAAAGGGCUCGUAGGCGGCCAACUAAGUCAUACGUGAAAUCCCUCGGCUUAACCGGGGAACUGCGUCUGAUACUGGAUGGCUUGAGUUCGGGAGAGGGAUGCGGAAUUCCAGGUGUAGCGGUGAAAUUCGUAGAUAUUCGGAAGAACACCAGUGGCGAAGGCGGCUCACUGGACUGGUAUUGACGCUGAGGUGCGAAAGCGUGGGGAGCAAACAGG